rnacentral:tRNA from 1 species
GCCUCAUUAGCACAGUGGUAGUUGCGCCUGCCUAGUAAGCAGGAGGUCGCUUGUUCGAUCCAGGCAUGAGGCA